AAUAGAUACCCCGGUAGUCCACGCCGUAAACGAUGAGUGCUAAGUGUUAGAGGGUUUCCGCCCUUUAGUGCUGAAGUUAACGCAUUAAGUACUCCGCCUGGGGAGUACGGCCGCAAGGCUGAAACUCAAAGGAAUUGACGGGGGCCCGCACAAGCGGUGGAGCAUGUGGUUUAAUUCGAAGCAACGCGAAGAACCUUACCAGGUCUUGACAUCCUCUGACAACCCUAGAGAUAGGGCUUCUCCUUCGGGAGCAGAGUGACAGGUGGUGCAUGGUUGUCGUCAGCUCGUGUCGUGAGAUGUUGGGUUAAGUCCCGCAACGAGCGCAACCCUUGAUCUUAGUUGCCAUCAUUAAGUUGGGCACUCUAAGGUGACUGCCGGUGACAAACCGGAGGAAGGUGGGGAUGGACGUCAAAUCAUCAUGCCCCUUAUGACCUGGGCUACACACGUGCUACAAUGGACGGUACAAAGAGCUGCAAGACCGCGAGGUGGAGCUAAUCUCAUAAAACCGUUCUCAGUUCGGAUUGUGGGCUGAACUCG
rnacentral:rRNA from 1 species